AAUGAACGCUGGCGGCAGGCCUAACACAUGCAAGUCGAGCGGAUGAAGGGAGCUUGCUCCUGGAUUCAGCGGCGGACGGGUGAGUAAGUCCUAGGAAUCUGCCUUAUCGUGGGGGAUAACGUCCGGAAACGGGCGCUAAUACCGCAUACGUCCCGAUGGUGAAAGGGGGGGAUCUUUGGACCUCACGCUUUUUGCUGAGCCUAGGUCGGAUUAGCUAGUUGGUGGGGUAAAGGCCUACCAAGGCGACGAUCCGUAACUGGCCUGAGAGGAUGAUCAGUCACACUGGAACUGAGACACGGUCCAGACUCCUACGGGAGGCAGCAGUGGGGAAUAUUGGACAAUGGGCGAAAGCCUGAUCCAGCAAUGCCGCGUGUGUGAAGAAGGUCUUCGGAUUGUAAAGCUCUUUUAGUAGGGAGGAACGGAAGUAAGUUAAAACCUGGCUGUUUUGACGUUACCAACAGAAUAAGCAACGGCUAACUUCGUG
rnacentral:rRNA from 1 species